rnacentral:tRNA from 1 species
GCCUUUGUGGUGUAGUAGUCAGCACUCUCGGUUCGUAUUCGAGAGGUUUGUGGUUCGAAUCCCGGCAAGGGCA